UUGUUCGUGAAAAGGAGAGAUGGUUGGCUCCCCUGACAGGGACGGGAGUAGUCUUGGGACUUACCUGUUACACAUCCGGUUAAGGCUACCCACCCUUGUGGUGGAUCUUAUGCCCGAUUUUUUU